CUGAUCCAGCCAUGCCGCGUGAGUGAUGAAGGCCCUAGGGUUGUAAAGCUCUUUCACCGGUGAAGAUAAUGACGGUAACCGGAUAAGAAGCCCCGGCUAACUUCGUGCCAUCAGCCGCGGUAAUACUAAGGGGGCUAGCGUUGUUCGGAUUUACUGGGCGUAAAGCGCACGUAGGCGGACUUUUAAGUCAGGGGUGAAAUCCCGGGGCUCAACCCCGGAACUGCCUUUGAUACUGGAAGUCUUGACUAUGGAAAAGGUAAGUGGAUUUGCGAGUGUACAGGUGAUAUUCAUAUAUAUUCGCAGGAACACCAGUGGCGAAGGCUGCUUACUGGUCCAUUACUGACGCUGAGGUGCGAAAGCGAGGGGAGCAAACAAGAUUAUAUACCCUGGUAGUCCACGCCGUACACGAUCAAUGUUAGCCGUCGGGGUGAUUACACUUCGGUGGCGCAGCUAACGCAGUAAAACAUUCCGCCUGGGGAGUACGGUCGCAAGAUUAAAACUCAAAGGAAUUGACGGGGGCCCGCACAAGCGGUGGAGCAUGUGGUUUAAUUUGAAGCAACGCGCAGAACCUUACCAGCUCUUGACAUGCAGUAUGAAUUCUAGAGAGACACUUUCAGCCUUUCGGGGCGUAGGACACAGGUGCGCAUGGUGUCGUCAGCUCGUGUCGUGAGAUGUUGGGUUAAGUCCCGCAACGAGCGCAACCCUCGCCUUUAGUUGCCAUCAUUUAGUUGGGCACUCUAAAGGGACUGCCAGUGUUAAGUUGGAGGAAGGUGGGGAUGACGUCAAGUCCUCAUGGCCCUUACGGGCUGGGUUACCCACGUGUUACAAUGGUGGUGACAGGGGGCAGCGAGAUCGGGAGGUCGAGUUAAUCUCCAAAAACCAUCUCAGUUCGGAUUGCACUCUGCAACUCGAGUGCAUGAAGUUGGAAUCGCUAGUAAUCGCGGAUCAGAAUGCCGCGGUGAAUACGUUCCCGGGCCUUGUACACACCGCCCGUCACAC
rnacentral:rRNA from 1 species